rnacentral:piRNA from 1 species
UAUUUCGUUUAUGUUUUGAAC